GGAUGAGCGGCGCUGACGUCAGUGUCAGUUAGCCCGCAGAAGCACUGCCUUUGCCAGUUACAGCCGGGUAUACACAGAGAUUAAAACUACAAGUGCGGGCGAACGGCGGCGCGGAUCAGAGCAAGCUGCUGCUUCCUCACUCGCCCAGCUGCAUACAAGCUUUAGAAAGAAGUAGUUGCGACAUUAACGUUCUCCUGGAGCACUGCCCAUGCACCAAGCCUGCUAAUUAUCAUCAACUAAAUAAGGUGGAUAACAGUUGAAAGGGGCCACACAUCGGCCCAUGGAUUUGAAAGGAAAACAAGUAGUCAAGCUUGAGAACCCUAUAUUGGAAAUUAUUUGUGAUGUAUUUUCACACUUCA